rnacentral:pre_miRNA from 1 species
UUUUUAGUAUAAGUGUGUUUCAUGUAAUAUUUGGGACAUAGUUACACUAAAG